rnacentral:rRNA from 1 species
UUUAAAUGGCCGCAGUAUCCUAACUGUGCAAAGGUAGCAUAAUCAUUAGUCUUUUAAUUGAAGGCUGGUAUGAAUGGUUGGACGAGAUAUUAACUGUUUCAUAAAAAUUUAUAAUAGAAUUUUAUUUUUUAGUCAAAAAGCUAAAAUAUAUUUAAAAGACGAGAAGACCCUAUAAAUCUUUAUAUUUAGACAAUUAUAAUUUUUCGGAUUUUUUUUGUUAUGAUUGUUAAUAAUAUUUUAUUGGGGUGAUAUUAAAAUUUAAAAAACUUUUAAUUAAUUAAAUCAUUAAUUAAUGAUUAAUUGAUCCGUUAUUAACGAUUAAAAAUUUAAGUUACUUUAGGGAUAACAGCGUAAUUUUUUUGGAGAGUUCAUAUCGAUAAAAAAGAUUGCGACCUCGAUGUUGGAUUAAGAGAUAUAUUUAGGUGUAG